rnacentral:misc_RNA from 1 species
GAUGAAGAACGCAGCGAAAUGCGAUACUUGGUGUGAAUUGCAGAAUCCCGUGAACCAUCGAGUCUUUGAACGCAAGUUGCGCCCGAAGCCAUCAGGUUGAGGGCACGUCUGCCUGGGCGUCACAUAUCGUUGCCCAAUGCCUAUUGCAGUGCAAUAGGAAUUUCUAGGGCGAAUGAUGGCUUCCCGUGAGCGUUGUUGCCUCGCGAUUGGUUGAAAAUCGAGUCCUUGGUAGGGUGUGCCAUGGUAGAUGGUGGUCGAGUUAGAACGAUACCGAUCAUGUGCAUGCUCCCCAAAAUAUGGCCUCUAUGACCCACACGCGUCUUUUGACGCUCAUGACGAGACCUCAGGUCAGGCGGGGCUACCCGCUGAAUUUAAGCAUAUCAAUAAGCGGAGGA